GCAAGUCGAGCGGUAACAGGAGAAGCUUGCUUCUCGCUGACGAGCGGCGGACGGGUGAGUAACGCGUAGGAAUCUACCCAGUAGCGGGGGAUAGCCAGUGGAAACGCUGAUUAAUACCGCAUACGCCCCACGGGGGAAAGGAGGGGAUCUCUUCGGACCGGUCACUAUUGGAGGAGCCUGCGUUGGAUUAGCUAGUUGGUGAGGUAAAGGCUCACCAAGGCGACGAUCCAUAGCUGGUCUGAGAGGACGAUC
rnacentral:rRNA from 1 species